UGCAUUCACUACUGUAAGUCGCUCUGUAUAAGAGCGUCUGCUAAAUGACAAAAA
rfam:Salmo salar isolate Sally breed double haploid chromosome ssa13, whole genome shotgun sequence.